rnacentral:rRNA from 1 species
AAAAUUGUAGGUCAGUCAAACGCGAUCUAUCUCUAUCGCUCCCGAACCCACCUCUUCCCCUUCCGAUCUGGUCGCCGCCGAAUCCGGCGUCGCCCCCCACCCCCCACCCCCGCGCUCGGUUCCCGUCCAGAACCUGCCACCUACGACGGAGCGAGGCCGCCGAAGCCGGCGACAAAAGGAUUCGAAGCAGCCGGCCGGAGCUACUUUGACUUCGACGUUGAGGAGGGCGUCGGCCUCAGCUCCUGGCCUCCCAGGGCCCGCCGCCGCUGGGCUCGUACAUGGUCAGGUGCGGGCGACUCGGAGAGGAGCUUUGGCCGUAAGGACUAUACAGCUUAGUUUCUCCUGGGAUCACGUUCUCCGGACGUCGAUUGAGUUUCCGAGCAAAGUCCGGGCCUCCAGGUUUAUCUACACAUCCACGUAAUAAGGCAACUGUGUAACAAUUAUCAAGCCUGGUUGAGAAGAAGAGAAUGCAAAAGAUCAAUUUAUCUUCAUGAGUAGGAAAGUAUUAAUCAAUCUCUAGAUAAAGUAAUGAGAUCAAUUCCUCAGAAUGCAGGCCGAGGCUGCUAGCUUGUACAUGGAUUCCUAGAUGCCGUACUAAUGAAGAAGAUAGCAAGCCGUCGAUUGCUGCAACAGGGCGGCAGGGAAGAUCCGAGUCAGCCGACGGUUGUCAAGGCAACAGUAACCUUCUAAAGGACCUUCCUAUAGUCUCCUGCCAAUGCCGGAUUAGAUCGAGGUCGCGGUGGAUUGGGUGAAUCGCGCGUACCUAGGUAUAGCCUCAUGACGCGAGGAGAACUCGUCACACUCGGCAGCCCCAAGCAGCGGUCCAAAACAUAUUAAAGUUCCAUGGAUCAAGAAGGUAUAGCAAUAGUACUGUCACACCUGUACAACUACUUGGUGGAACAAUUUUCAUUGCAGUUUUGCCAGAACUGAUGCUAAGUCAUGGCAGGUUGUUUCUGGCGGUAGUGUUUUCAUCUGAUAUCAUUGAUAUUUUAUUUACUGAAUAACCUUCCAAGAAUCACAUAAGCAUAUGGUCUUAUCAUGUCAUAGUGCAGCUGAACCUGAGCGUAAUUGCAGGCUAUAGCUCUUUAUUAUCUAUAUAUAUUGAAUGACUGAAUGGUGACACUAUACUCGUCAGUUGUUCACCACGUUGUUUGUUUCAAUAUUCUAU